GCUUCGCAUACUGGGGCUAUGGAAGUUCCAAGUUUCCAAGCCUCUCCUCCGCCUUCACCACCACUCCGAUCGCAGGGAAUAAUAUCCAGUUCUCCGCGGCGCAAUGAAGGGCCAUAGCGACUGGGUUACGGCCAUCGCCACCCCAAUCCACAACCCGACGUCAUGGUGACCUACUCCCACGAUUGGGAACACGCUCGAUGAGUGUCUGCCUUCGUUUCAGCCUCAUUGGACCGCACCAUGAAAAUCUGGAAUCUAACGAAUGCUUCGUCCGAUUCUUGGCCACAUUUGGUCAUAUUCUGUACUGCCUUGAGCUUGAGUUUUGACUUGGUACACUUUUGUGGAUAUGAUAUUUAUUGUUAGAGCAACCUCAAUCAUCUUUAUAGCAUCACCAAUAGUAGUGAUUUUUUCUGUCUAACUCGAAAAGAGCUGCUGCUGUGACUGUGUGCAUGCCUUUUCUCUCUCUGGAUUGGCCCCAUAAAAAAACGGGUGUUUUCUCCGGGAAGGCUACUUGGUGACGCUGGAUUCCAAAAUCUCUUGCAUGGGGGUUGGAUCCCAAACAGGGAAAAGUGGCCAAGACGGGCGUUUUUCACUUAUCCAGAAAAGCAUAUACUAUAUUAAUAUUUAUAUAUGCAUAUACGUAUAUACACUGUUAUAUACGCAUGAUUGUCAUGAUUAUCAUGUAUAUAACAGUUGGCAUGUAUAUAACAGUGUAUACUUGCCGCUGUGUUUCAUUUUUUUUAUUUUUUUUCCUGGAUAAGUGAAACUUGAGUCCAUCUUUCUCGUUGAGCUGCUUUACCUUGUUUGAGAUCCAAAUCCCAUAUAGGGCAUUUUGGGAUCCGUUGUUAGAUUGCAACCCAUUCGGGGUUAUGAUUCUAAAAAAACCAAUCUUGCCGGAGAAAAAACUAACCCUUUAGAGCAUCCACAUUAGGAUAUCUUUAUCCUUGCAAAUCUUGGGUCCUACAUCCACAUUAUCAAAUUUGUAAAUUCUCCAUUAUUUAUUAUACAUUCAUUCAAAUCUUUUUUACUUUAAAAAAUGGGUCAUACUUUUAUAUUAUAUUAUAAAUAUAUAAUAAUAUUAAAAAAAUAAUAAAAAAAUAAAAGUAUUGCAAUGCGGUAACUUGUGACUGCCAAAAGUUGUUGUAGUGUAGCUUAGAACAAAUUGGCAAACUUAGCAAAUUUGCUAAGCUGCAAUGUGACACCUUUUGUUUUGUUUUGUUUUGUUUUUUAUUUUAUUUUAUUUUAUUUUUACUAUUUCUUUUAAUAGUAUUUUAUUAUUAUAUUUAUAAUAAUAUAUAAUAUGAAAGUGUGAUUCAUUUUUUAAAGUCAGAGAUUUGUAGGGAUAGUAAUAGUCUUAGUGGUUUCUGCUCAGUUUUAAGGUAAAUAUUGGUGAUGUGGAGGAGAGAAGAUUUGAGGAUGUCUGUGAAGGGGUGGUUUUUUAUGAGACCCGUAGGAGAGAGAAGAGAGGCUUAGUUUUUGUGCAUUUUGCGCACGGAACUGCCCAUUCCAAGUGUGUGCAGUGCAUGCAUUGGCGCAUAAAGAGGCUUGCAUUGGCGCAUAAAGAGGCUUGCAUUGGCGCAUAAAGAGGCUUGCUUUUGCUUUUUUUUGUUUUUGGCAAUUUGUCAGAUUUGUUUUUAUUUUCUUCUUUUUCCUUCUUUAUUUUUUCAUCUUCUUUGUCCUAAUUGGCACAUCAAAAAUCACUCCAAGAACUUCACUAUUGAGGUUCUUUUAGAUUUUUACUAUUAUAAGAAUUAUGAAAAAACCCC